UACUCCUACGGGAGGCAGCAGUGGGGAAUAUUGCACAAUGGGCGCAAGCCUGAUGCAGCGACGCCGCGUGCGGGAUGGAGGCCUUCGGGUUGUAAACCGCUUUUGUUCAAGGGCAAGGCAGGCUUUCGGGCCUGUUGAGUGGAUUGUUCGAAUAAGCACCGGCUAACUACGUGCCAGCAGCCGCGGGUAAUAA
rnacentral:rRNA from 1 species